rnacentral:rRNA from 1 species
GAUGAACGCUGGCGGCGUGCCUAAUACAUGCAAGUCGAGCGAACAGACGAGGAGCUUGCUCCUCUGACGUUAGCGGCGGACGGGUGAGUAACACGUGGAUAACCUACCUAUAAGACUGGGAUAACUUCGGGAAACCGGAGCUAAUACCGGAUAAUCUAUUGAACCGCAUGGUUCAAUAGUGAAAGACGGUUUUGCUGUCACUUAUAGAUGGAUCCGCGCCGCAUUAGCUAGUUGGUAAGGUAACGGCUUACCAAGGCAACGAUGCGUAGCCGACCUGAGAGGGUGAUCGGCCACACUGGAACUGAGACACGGUCCAGAGUCCUACGGGAGGCAGCAGUAGGGAAUCUUCCGCAAUGGGCGAAAGCCUGACGGAGCAACGCCGCGUGAGUGAUGAAGGUCUUCGGAUCGUAAAACUCUGUUAUUAGGGAAGAACAAAUGUGUAAGUAACUAUGCACGUCUUGACGGUACCUAAUCAGAAAGCCACGGCUAACUACGUG